UUUUUUUAUGUUACAGCCUGAAAAGCUGCAGUCGACAAGACAAAAAGGCGAAAUAAAGCCUCCGCAGUCGGUCGGAACUCCAAACCAAUCUCAAGCAUCGUCUAUGCCCGCACAGAUGUCUGAACACGAGAUUUACAACACGAUGCUGACGAAAAAUAAAAGAAAAUCAUCUGACAACAAGUAAAAUAAAUAGUUUGGUUAAAA
rnacentral:misc_RNA from 1 species